rnacentral:rRNA from 1 species
UACGUAGGGUGCAAGCGUUAAUCGGAAUUACUGGGCGUAAAGCGUGCGCAGGCGGUCUUGCAAGACAGAUGUGAAAUCCCCCGGGCUCAACCUGGGAAUUGCAUUGGAUACUGGCAGGCUAGAGUGCGGUAGAGGGUAGUGGAAUUCCCGGUGUAGCAGUGAAAUGCGUAGAGAUCGGGAGGAACAUCUGUGGCGAAGGCGACUACCUGGACCAGCACUGACACUGAGGCACGAAAGCGUGGGGAGCAAACAGG